CCACGCCGCCCUCCCUCUGCGGCGCCGCUCCACCGCCGCCCUCCCUCUGCAGCGCCGCCCCACGCCGUCCUGCCCCGUCAACGUCGCCCAACACCGUCCUGUUUCUCCACCGCCGGCCCCAUGCCCUAGUGCUCUCUCUCUCCAGGCGCCUCUCUCCAACCAGCAGUAGGCGUGUGAGCAUCUUGGGAAGCGGCAAGCCACCCUCCCUGGACUGACCUCCCCCAUCUCCAUUGUCCAGCUCUCGAAGACACGCAGCGGCAGCGGCAAUGGUCGAUGCGGCUGAGGUAACAUAGAGGAGCACUACUGGUAACAUUGAGCCGACAAAGAGAAGUUGUAGAAUAUUUGCUGCAACCACUAGGAUUCUUGCUGCCAACGACUCAGCUUCCAGCAGCGGUGCAGCGAUCCCCCUCCCGUGCUUGUCGCUGCAUCCUCCACCAGUUG